rnacentral:rRNA from 1 species
CCUACGGGCGGCAGCAGUGAGGAAUAUUGGUCAAUGGGCGUGCGCCUGAACCAGCCAAGUCGCGUGAGGGAAGACGGCCCUAUGGAUUGUAAACCUCUUUUGUCGGGGAGCAAAACCCGCUACGUGUGGCGUUACUAGAGUACCCGAAGAAAAAGCAUUGGCCAACCUCGUGCCAGCAGGCGCGGUAAUACGGAGGAUGCGAGCGUUAUCCGGAUUUAUUGGGUUUAAAGGGUGCGCAGGCGGAAGGUCAAGUCAGCGGUAAAAUUGAGGGGCUCAACCUCUUCGAGCCGUUGAAACUGGUGUUCUUGAGUGGGCGAGAAGUAUGCGGAAUGCGUGGUGUAGCGGUGAAAUGCAUAGAUAUCACGCAGAACUCCGAUUGCGAAGGCAGCAUACCGGCGCUCAACUGACGCUCAUGCACGAAAGUGUGGGUAUCGAACAGGAUUAGAUACCCUUGUAGUC